GAUGAAGAACGCAGCGAAAUGCGAUACUUGGUGUGAAUUGCAGAAUCCCGUGAACCAUCGAGUCUUUGAACGCAAGUUGCGCCCGAAGCCACUAGGCCGAGGGCACGCCUGCCUGGGCGUCACACGCCGUUGCCCCCCCAUCUACUCCUUCGGGAUUGCGGGGGGGCGGAUGAUGGCCUCCCGUGCGCCUAGCCGCGCGGUUGGCAUAAAUACCAAGUCCUCGGCGACGCACGCCACGACAAUCGGUGGUUGCGAAACCUCGGUUGCCCGUCGUGUGCGUUCGUCGCGCAUCGAGGGCUCGAAAAAGUGCUCGGCUCCGGCUGGGCUUUCAACGCGACCCCAGGUCAGGCGGGGUUACCCGCUGAAUUUAAGCAUAUCAAUAAGCGGAGGA
rnacentral:misc_RNA from 1 species